rnacentral:rRNA from 1 species
CAUUCACGGAGAGUUUGAUCCUGGCUCAGGACGAACGCUGGCGGCGUGCUUAACACAUGCAAGUCGAACGAUGAACCACUUCGGUGGGGAUUAGUGGCGAACGGGUGAGUAACACGUGGGCAAUCUGCCCUUCACUCUGGGACAAGCCCUGGAAACGGGGUCUAAUACCGGAUAACACCUUCCCUCUCCUGAGGGAGGGUUAAAAGCUCCGGCGGUGAAGGAUGAGCCCGCGGCCUAUCAGCUUGUUGGUGAGGUAAUGGCUCACCAAGGCGACGACGGGUAGCCGGCCUGAGAGGGCGACCGGCCACACUGGGACUGAGACACGGCCCAGACUCCUACGGGAGGCAGCAGUGGGGAAUAUUGCACAAUGGGCGAAAGCCUGAUGCAGCGACGCCGCGUGAGGGAUGACGGCCUUCGGGUUGUAAACCUCUUUCAGCAGGGAAGAAGCGAAAGUGACGGUACCUGCAGAAGAAGCGCCGGCUAACUACGUGCCAGCAGCCGCGGUAAUACGUAGGGCGCAAGCGUUGUCCGGAAUUA